rnacentral:rRNA from 1 species
UACGUAGGGGGCUAGCGUUGUCCGGAAUCAUUGGGCGUAAAGCGCGUGUAGGCGGCUCGGUAAGUCCGCUGUGAAAGUCGGGGGCUCAACCCUCGGAUGCCGGUGGAUACUGUCGGGCUAGAGUACGGAAGAGGCGAGUGGAAUUCCUGGUGUAGCGGUGAAAUGCGCAGAUAUCAGGAGGAACACCGGUGGCGAAGGCGGAUCUCUGGGCCAUUACUGACGCUGAGGAGCGAAAGCGUGGGGAGCGAACAGG